UGGGGCGCCGGGUAAGCGUAGAGUGGGCCUUGGGUUGACGUCGGGCUCUCUGCGUCUUUCCCCCCAGGAUCUCCACGUUCUCGGGCAUGUGGACGGAGGUGGGCAACGACGCGCCUCGCAGGGACCGUGUCUGGAGACCCCGGGCCAUCACCGUGGAGUCCCACUGGCUGCCACUCUGUUGGGACCUCCAGGUUUGUGUAGUCUCCUCCUCAACCACAGAAGCCCACCGCCCGACCUGGCGCAGGUCUCCUCCAGUUUGGGCUUUUGAGGAUUGGGGGAAUCCGGGUCGCGGGCCUCCAGCACAGCACAUGGCACUGUGUUGCCCGUAUUGUAUUUAUCUACCAUCACAAUGUCCCCAGCUGUGACCUGCCACAGGGUGCUGCAGCAGGAAGGGGGUCCUCGGGGUUUGCAGCCAGCAGGUAACCACAUCUUGCCAGGGGAGGGUGCCCCCAUUGGGGCUUAUUUCCCCCUGCCACUUGUCCCCAGGGAGGCCUGAACUAUAGAAGCUACAUGUGUGGAGGUGUGGUUUAUACUGGGGGGCGGGGACCUCACUGUCCCUGGAAUAAAGUAUUCAUCACUGUGUCCAA